UCUGACCUCAACUUGAAGAAUCAUGUAUAUAGUAUGGGGAAAUUAAAGACAAUCUAAAUAUCCAACUCUUGACAGAAGCGGGAUAGACUAAUGCCAUCUACUUGAUAAACAAUUAUACACACAUUAAAAAUGAUUAUGAAAAUUAGAUAAUAUGAUCAGAAGCAUUAUAAAAUGGUCAAUGAAAAAAUGGUAACUUUUAUAUACCAUAAAAAAACUUCAAAUCUUUGGAAAUAAGAGAUCAUAAAAGGAAAAUACAUAGACUGUAAUGUUAGGGAAAAGGAACUAAAACUUGGAACCCAAAGAAAAUAAACUAUUCAGCAGAUUUAUGAAAAUAGCACAAAUGGUCAUGAAAGAGUGAACUGCUUUGAAGAGGACUACAGAACACAAAGUGACUAAGAGAGUUAACAGUUGCAUCCUCUACUACACAGAUGCUCCUCAACUUAGGAUGGAGUUAUGUCCUAAUAAAGUCAGCAGUUCAUGUGAUUCCCACAAACACCUGAUGGAGGACUCCACAGAGAAUUAAAAUGUAUCAUGCACAGCAGAUAAAGAGUGAAGAAUCUGAAGAACUGGGAUUACUACUUUCAGUGUGACUUCAUUUCUAGAUCCUUGCUCUCUGAUGUGAUAAUACACAGAGCAGUGACUUUCUCUCUUGAAUUUCUACUCUUAGGGUCCUGUGCCAGACAAUGGAAAUACAGAUGCCAAAGAUCUAAGACAUGAGUACAGAUUCUGACCCAUAAAUGAACACAACCUGGAAGUUAGACAGCCAGUGAUGCUCCAAUGAAUCCCAGAAAAGUCAACUGAAGUCACUUAGAAAAACUAACACAGAGAAUGAAACACAUGGAUUCAUCUUUAUAAAGCUGUUCUGACCCAAGCAACAUUUCAUUCCUGAAACAGAAUGAAUGUUCUGGUGGGCUGAGCAGAAGAGGUCGGUUUUUUUAAACAGAAAAAGACUGAAAAAAGAAAAAAAAGAAAAAAAAAAGAGGAAGAAAACCACUCUCUCCAUAAGAUGGGGACAAGGAAACAGAACAACAGGAAAAUAACUGAUUGGUUCAUGUCAAGUUACUCCAGGUUACUGUUCUGUAUAAAGAUUAAGAAUUAUGAACAGUACAGCAAGGGUUUGCAAGAGAGGAGCAAGCAAGAGGGAUGACUUCAUGAACUGUUACAAAGACUGAUGAAGUUUGUCCCAGAACUGCAGUUCAGCCCAGUUCAGAAAGUCAGCACACACUCAGGAAAAUAUGAUGGAUGGGGAGGAGUGACCCUACACACAAAUCACUACUGAUAUGGGGGAAACGGCAGGAAGAUUAGGUAGCAGAAAGAGGACAUGGAACAGGGUUGGGGUACAUCCAGCCCACUGGCCAUAUAAGACCCAUGAAAUCAUUUGGUAUGGUCUUACCAAGGCAGCAACAGUUUUGCCAAAGUGUGGCAAAUCCAGCCUGGAAGAAGAUUCCUAAUUAUUGGCCUAUUAGCAUCACUAUCAACCCACAUAAUUCACAGUCUACGCAGAAAGAAAUGAGGACACAGUGAGUGCGUUAGAGGAAAUUUAAAUGCAGAGAAUACAACUGAGCCUGUUCAGCUUCCAUCCCUACCAAUGUCUUCACACUGUUUCAAGGGAGAGAAGCACACAGAGGAGACAUGGCAAGGGAUUUGAUAGGUAAUUUAGUGGGCAACUUCCUCUAAAUCACUGCAGUGAUGUUUCUGGUUGUUGUUGCUAUAGUUCAAAUGGUUCCUGUUUUUUUCUAUCCUGUAAUCUAUUGAAUUAAAGUCAAAGCAGAA